rnacentral:lncRNA from 1 species
AUUUUUGUGCUAUUAGAAGAAAAGGUAUGCAAUAAUUUUUUUAGUAUUCAUGCUUUUGUACAUUUCUUUGAAUCUUAAUAUUCAUGCUACUAUAUUGAAAUACAAUGUUCAUUCUUUACACUAGAAAUUUAUUGGUUAAGAAUGUCUUUUACCGAUAUUCGACCCACUUAUUUAAGUUUAUAGACAUUGAAAGUGUUUGGAAAUAAUUUUUUUACUCCAUUAUAUCAUACGAAUGCAAUAGGAAAACUAUUAUGUUAGUUGUUUUAAACAACAUUUAAAUUUUUGGAUGAAGGCAAAACAAUUGACAAUGCAAGGGCAAGGAUGACAUCUUGGCACAAGUAAAAUAUUUUGAGAUGCCAUUUUAAGAAUUCAAAUUGAUCUAAUCCUAAUAGAAAUUAUGAUAUAUCUUCAGAGAAGUGAACAUCAAUGUGUUUUAGAUGUAACAUAUAUCUACAUUUAAUAAUCAAUUGAAAUAUUCAAAAAAUCAAUUAAGUGGUGGACUUUUUGUUUAUACAAUAUUUCAGAUUUGAAUUUAACUGUGGUUAUGAAACUCUUUAAUGUUACAAAACAAGUAGUUAUUUCUGCAGGAAAUAUGAAUAAAAUGAUUGCUUGUGAUCGGAUGAUGAAAUUGGAGCAGGCUUAUAUUAUUUUCUUUAUAUUGUGUAUGUCAUUAGCAAAUUCAUGCAAGACAUACCCUCCCGUAGUAGAGCAUAACUGUUAUUGUGCGUGUAUUGACUUCUCUAUCAAUGCAAGAGAUGCUGCAGCUACACCGGAGGUUGGAGAACUGUGUAGAGAAGGAUCAUUUCUAGACUUCAAUUGUGACCUUAAGGAUGCAUAUGAUGAGGCUGUUGAUAAAACACCUUUCCUAGAUUUAGAACCUGCAGAAUGUCCUCAGUAUUAUAUUUAGACUAUAUUCACAUGCUUUUAUAUAAUUUUACAUCUUUAUUUAUUUUUCAAAUAAAAAUAACUUUAUAAUGUCAU